UACGUAGGGUGCGAGCGUUGUCCGGAAUUAUUGGGCGUAAAGGGCUCGUAGGCGGUUUGUCGCGUCGGGAGUGAAAACUCAGGGCUUAACCCUGAGCCUGCUUCCGAUACGGGCAGACUAGAGGUAUGCAGGGGAGAACGGAAUUCCUGGUGUAGCGGUGAAAUGCGCAGAUAUCAGGAGGAACACCGGUGGCGAAGGCGGUUCUCUGGGCAUUACCUGACGCUGAGGCGCGAAAGCUAGGGGAGCAAACAGG
rnacentral:rRNA from 1 species